rnacentral:lncRNA from 1 species
AGGAGAAUGUUCAAUGCGGGCAGAAAUGGCCGUGUGUUGGGCACCCCGACCGGUUUUACUCAUGCCUUCCCCACCCAUGGGCCCGGCUCAGCUACCCCUCUGGGCUCUGGCUCGAGUCCCAAGUGUGAGUACGUCACACCUGGCACCACCCCGGCUACUAGCGGUCCAAGAGCGGUCCUAUACCUCAUGUCCAAGCAGUGGUUGAAGCCACAUUUUAAUCGUCGCCGCAGCGACUCGAACUUGGGACCAUGAGGUUAGAAUCCCCGCCCAGUACCACUAGGCUACCAC